rnacentral:rRNA from 1 species
UUGAACGCUGGCGGCAGGCCUAACACAUGCAAGUCGAGCGGAUGAAGGGAGCUUGCUCCUGGCUUCAGCGGCGGACGGGUGAGUAAUGCCUAGGAAUCUGCCUGGUAGUGGGGGAUAACGUCCGGAAACGGGCGCUAAUACCGCAUGCGUCCUGAGGGAGAAAGUGGGGGAUCUUCGGACCUCACGCUAUCAGAUGAGCCUAGGUCGGAUUAGCUAGUUGGUGGGGUAAAGGCCUACCAAGGCGACGAUCCGUAACUGGUCUGAGAGGAUGAUCAGUCACACUGGAACUGAGACACGGUCCAGACUCCUACGGGAGGCAGCAGUGGGGAAUAUUGGACAAAGGGCGAAAGCCUGAUCCAGCCAUGCCGCGUGUGUGAAGAAGGUCUUCGGAUUGUAAAGCACUUUAAGUUGGGAGGAAGGGCAGUAAGUUAAUACCUUGCUGUUUUGACGUUACCAACAGAAUAAGCACCGGCUAACUUCGUG